UACGUAGGUGGCGAGCGUUAUCCGGAAUGAUUGGGCGUAAAGGGUGCGCAGGCGGUCUGUUAAGUCAGCGGUCAAAGCCCGGGGCUCAACCCCGGCCCGCCGUUGAAACUGGCAGUCUCGAGUUGGAGAGAAGUAUGCGGAAUGCGCGGUGUAGCGGUGAAAUGCAUAGAUAUCGCGCAGAACUCCGAUUGCGAAGGCAGCUUGCUAGGCCGGAUCUGACACUGAUGCACGAAAGCGUGGGUAUCGAACAGG
rnacentral:rRNA from 1 species